ACGUAGGGUGCGAGCGUUAAUCGGAAUUACUGGGCGUAAAGCGUGCGCAGGCGGUUUUGUAAGACAGGGGUGAAAUCCCCGGGCUUAACCUGGGAAUUGCCUUUGUGACUGGCGGGCUGGAGUACGGCAGAGGGGGGUGGAAUUCCACGUGUAGCAGUGAAAUGCGUAGAGAUGUGGAGGAACACCGAUGGCGAAGGCAGCCCCCUGGGCCUAUACUGACGCUCAUGCACGAAAGCGUGGGGAGCAAACAG
rnacentral:rRNA from 1 species